UUUCCUGUGAGUUUGAGGGUGAGAUGACAAGAUGCAUGAUUAACAUCUUCUGCUAAGAAUUCCAAAUCUAUGAUUUCACAAAGUGUUAUAUGCUACAGUGUCUGUUGCAUGUGUGUAUAUAACCAUCAGCCUGAUAGAACAGAUAGAGUGCAGCAACUAUGGAAAAAGCUGCUGACAAGGUUUUGCUGAUGAAACCACACAUAAAUACUGACAUAAAAGGCCUCUAAAUGAGAGACUGGACAGCAUCAAAACUCCAAUGAUUGGUGAGUAGUUAUUUUGUUUAAACGGAAACUUUUGGUGGCUGCGGUUCAGUAGAAUGUACUCUUCAGCCAGGUGUGUUUCUGUUUUGGUUUAAUAUCCACAGGGCUGCAGUACGUGUCAGAGUAUCGGAGCCCCUCUGCCACAAUUCAGCUACAUUAUGUGUGUCACCUGUGUGCCACAGCUUCUCUUCAGGGACAGAUGAUUUGUCACGUAGGCAGAAUGCAACACUGUCUCAACUACCUGGUAUGGCCUGCAAGGGUGGUUGAAGCACCUUUAAGAUACCUGAAAUCAGCACCCACGUGAUGCGUGAUGUUAUGACCUACAGUAUUAAAUACUUUGCCACGUUUAAAAAAAA